UAUGCUAAAUGUAACUGUUUUGUUAUAAAUAAGCUGUUAAAAGUAAGAAGUUAAUUUGCCUCAAGUCUUAUGAGUUCUCUAAUAGUCACUUUAAGACUCUCAGCUGGUAACCGCUAUGUCGCAUGAGCGGCAGUUAGGAAGUAAACGAACGCUACAAACUAACGGUUCAGUGAUUCAUGGUUGUAGUGUAGCAAGCCAACUACAGCUACAUUUGCCUACAUUUAUGCCUAGAGUAGCAUUGUUGGUAUGUAUUCAUUCACUGUUUUUUAAACAAUUACAUAGGUUCAUAGAUCAUUAGUUUGAUGUCAGUGUUAUUUUGUGUUAAGUCUAUAUUACAAAUGUCCGUGAUCGCUGGCUUUGGUGCUGUGACUAGUGUUGCAUGGUUGCUAGGCAACUACACUCUUAAAAAUACUGGGUUAUUUUAUUAACCCAACCACUGGGUUGAGGCUGUUUAACCCUGUAUUAUGUAUAUUCAACCCAUAUUGGGUUACUUUCAGUAACCCAGUAGUUGGGUUAAUGGUUUUGGACUGUGCCUUGAUCUGAAUAACCCAACCAAUGGUCAUUUUAACCCAGUGGUUGGGUUACAUUCAAGUUUGGGAUCCUCCUCCAACGGUCUUUUUCUUUUCUCCGACGAGGCGGGAGACCACUCAUGGAAAAGCUGAAGCGAUUGAAUAUGGAGGACUUUGUUAAACUAAAGUUAACAGAACGGCAACUUCUGGAGCUGAUUGACACUUUUGCAGAUUGCGCAGGACUUCGAGGUUCUUCAUAAAGAGGCAUCAGACUAAAUGUUUGACCUGGAGGAGGUUCAGCGAGAAGCUUCUUCAUGCGGCCCAGCGGGGGGGGGGGGAGCUCCAGGUGCAGACCGAGUCUUUGUCUCAAGGCUCCAAAGACUACGUUGCCCUGAUGGUUCUGCCAAGCCUGAUGCCACCUGCAGUCUUCAGAAUGGGCCGAAAGACCGUGAGGACUACAGUGUCUGACGCCAUGAAGGCCUUCAUCGAUCUUAAGCCUGUCGGAUGGUGGAGUACCUUCAGGCAGCAGACCAGACCAUACCCCUGCACCCUGGUGUUGGGAGGCGAGGACUGCUGCUCACAGCCAUUCACCGUUCCCAGUGGGCCGGCCCUGGAGCACGACAGCGUUGUAAAGCUGUACAUGUUUGUUUCAAAUGUUUACAUGUGUUUGAUAUCAAUUUCCCAAAGCAGUGUUUCUCUGCUUGGGGGGGGUAGUAAUGUGGCCCCAUGCGUUUGUUUUUUGGAAAUGCUCAUGCAUAAGGGAAUUCUCUCUUUCUCUCUCUCUCUCUCUCUCUCUCUCUCUCUCUCUCUGUCUCUCUAUUUCUAAUAUUUAGGAGGAAUGUAAGGAGGGAAUGAAUUAUUGUUAAUAAUUGUUGCUUGGUAUUAGUCCAGUUAUUUGAUACACAUUUUGAAAUGAGGUAGGGGUAAUGUAGGCCCUAUGCGUUUCUUCUUUGGAAACACUCAUGUGAUAAGGGAAUUGGGCUUGUUAUUGUUAUUCCAGUUUUUCUCUUUUAAAUGAUUAAAUUAAUAUUGUUCAAUAAAAUAAGUGACAUUAAUGAAGUGUAUGUAUUGUUUAUUAUUAUUAAAAAUAUAGGGAUUUUAUAGAUUAAAGAAUAACUAAAUGAAUGGGUCAAAUAUCAACCCAACAAGGGGGUCAAUUUAACCCAAUAUUUGGGCUGGUGGGCCUGACCCAGUAAUGAGUUGCAUUAACCCAACAUUGGUGUCAGAAUGACCCAGGCUUUGGUUAGGCGAAGCAACCCCUUAUACUGGGUUAAAAUUUCAACCCAGUUCAAAAAGUCAAAACAACCCAGCAUGUGUUCUGUCCUAUAUUGAACCAGGUACUGGGUUGGGAAUAACCCAAUUUGGGUUAUUUUCAGCCCAGUAUUUUUUAGUGUGUAUAAGUCACAGGACAGGCUACACUCGUAUGAAUGAACGUAAUAUUGUUUACAUGUAAAAAUAUCUUUGUACAGCAUAAUCACUAUCAGUUUAAUAGUUAUGAAUUAUAUUGUGUAACGGUAGAAAGGAAAUAUUUGAAUUGAUUAAAUUACAUUCUGAACAGAGGCUAUAUAGUAUGUUAAAAGCUAGCAUAGAAUUGAUUAGUCUGUUUUUGUAUGUUACAGUUUCACACUUUCCUUGAAACGU